UGAAAGAACACCAUUUUUAUGAUAAGGGAGUACUCCAGGUAUCUAAAAUAAGAUACAAAGAGUAGAUUUAAAUGUGGUAAAACUAAUGAUUUAGCCACCGAAGUUGGCACGUUUUAUUGAAUACAUGAUUGAACUUUUAAUUUUUUAAAUUAACUCACUAAACUAAUUUUUAUUUUCAAAUUAGGUCAUUCCGUUAAAAAAAAUUUGACAGACAUUAAUUUUUUAUAUACGUAGCGCUGACAUGGACGUAAAAAUGAAAAAAAAAAACAGAAAAGAAGGGGGCUUCGUGCAUCCGUCGGUCUACAUGGAAUUUUUGAGCACAAAAUACUCUACAAGCAACUUGACCAACCAAGCUGACCAAAACAGAAUAAGCAUCAUCUCCACCAUCUUCUUCUACAGAGGACCCAACCCGCAAUGGUAUGUAGUGGGGAAGGGCAAUAAGGUCAGACCCUUUUGGAAUUUCUUUAGAGGCAAUCAACUAAGGAUGCACUAAACCCCCUUCUUUUCGAACCCAAUUGAUGAGGUCAGGUGAGUAUUUUCAUCUUCCCCAAAUCUUCAUCUUCCCCAAAUUUUCAUCAAAUUACACAGCAACCAAUUCUUUAAAAUUAUAAGCCAACAAAUAAAUUGAUACAAAGGGGAACUUGGUAGGGCCUAACCCCGAGAUGUCGGGUUUGAUGCUUAAACAACAAUAGGCUGAUCACAAUACAAAGGAAUUUGCUCCUAAGAAAAGUUACACUGCCACGAUAGUUGGUGGAGCUACUGGUGGUGCUGCUGCUUUUGGGGUUGCCGUUGUCAUAGUCUUGGCUGCUUAUAAUAGGAAGAAGAGAUAUCCAGGGAACGGCUCGAUGUCUAGCUGGCUACCCCUUUACGGGCAAACCCAUACUUCAGCUAGCAGAUCUAAAACCUAGGGCAAAAGCCAUGGUAGCACCGCUAGCACGACCGCCGCACCACCACCACCUCCAAUGCCGAACCCUAGUAAAAGUGCACCUCAAAUGGGUCAAAAACAAAUCCCUAGACCACAUAACCGAUAUUAUUGAUAUUUAGAUUAUUUGAUAAAUG
rnacentral:lncRNA from 1 species